ensembl:snRNA U6 U6 spliceosomal RNA
AUGCUUGCUUCAGCAGCACAUAUACUAAAAUGGAAACAAAACAGAGAAGAUUAGCAUGGUCCCUGUACAAGGAUGAUACACAAAUUCAUGAAGCAUUCCAUAAAUAU